GUGUAUAUACAGUUUUCAUUGUGCAACUAAAAUUUGUUUAUAGAUUAAGAAUCCAACACUAAAAUUUAAUUUGAAAUAAAGCAUAAACAUACAUGAAAUUCUCAAAUGGAACAGAAUGAACAUAUUUAACAAACAAAUAAAAUCAAUAACUUCUGAGCUAUGGUUGAAUUUAGGAUUUCUUAAAGUGCCUCAAUCUGUUCAAUAGAAUGUGUGUAGUACCAUAGAACUGAAUGAUUAUACAAUGGCAUUUUAAAAAAAAACUUCCCAAGAAAACUGAGUUCUAGACUUCAUCAUCACUGGGAAUGUUUUCUUUGAAAGAACUGCACACCAAACAAACAAGUAGAACCAGUUCUGAGACUCAAAGAUGUACACAAAAAAAAAGAACCAAUGUUUACAACAAGCCAUGUUCUAGUUUACAACAUACAUAUAGGCACUAUACUAACAUCCCCUCUAACCCAGACCAACACACCAAAGCAAACUACAAUUUAAACACAUGUUCUGAACUUUGGACAAAUGUAUUGAACUUUGAAGUUAUUCCAAUGACACACAACUUUUUAACAAUAUCAACAUUAUAUAGAACUGUAGCCAGAACAGAAAUACUUAAAAAGUGAAUUUUUGCAAUCCAAACCAUUGUAAUUAUAAGUAUGUUCCUUAAUGUAGUGUAAUCUUUCAACACUUAAUAUAAUCUUUAGAACAGACUGUAAGUUAAUGCUUUGAAAGAAGGUCAACAAAAAUCACAAGAAUUUGUAAUUUUCAAAUUUUCAAUGUAAAUAUGGAACACCAAUGAUUUAGAUGAUGUCAAACGAGUGAGACACCAAUCUCUUGUUGCAUACAGUUCCUGUAAUUUAUAAUGGAGUAGUGGACACAAGAGUUUAUUAUUGAUAAAUAAUAAUCUGUCAACCUUUAAGAACUUUCAGUAAGUUAUAAACGUGUGUGUACAUUGAAUUUCUUCAUGCUCUUAUUGUGUACAGAUCUGACUAGAAAAUAAAUUUACUCAAUCCUUCUAACAAUACAAACACACACACAUGAAUGUGUUCAUCAUACUUUAAUUACUGCUAUUGAAAAUCAUAGAACUUUAAAUCAUAAAAACAUAUUUACAGCUUCAUCAACAUCCUUAGUGGUUGGGAGUUAUCAAACAUGGGCAGGGCACAUCAGAGAGAAUCAUUUGUGUGAGGCUGAAAAGGUUCUUAAAAUGUGCAAAUAAAAAAACAAACAAGGUAUAAUUCCUUGGGAUACAGUACUUGAUUGAGUUCCCCAAUAAACAGUUUUAAGUUUACAAAAAAAGUUAUUGAAUGUAAACAAAAUCAGAACUUAUUUCCAGUUCUGUUCCAUAAAAAGAACUAAAUUAAUUGCUUUCAUUUUCAUUCAAUAUAAAGUAAUUUGCUCAAUUAACAAUCAUAACAAGUGAAGUAUUGUAAUUAAUACAUUUUUAGUACAUUCAAUACAUGUUCACAUUUGUUCGAAAAGUCCAUUAGGAAACUGAAGCGCCAAAGGCAUCCCCAUUAAUCCUUUGACAAGGAUUUCUUCCAGCAGAUGGGACAUGUUCACAUUGAACAAUCACUUGUAAUAAGUUGGCAUUUCACAGUUUUGACAAAAAUUAUAAAUUGUUGAUAACAAAAAACAUUUUUAAAACAAAAACA